UACGGAGGGUGCGAGCGUUGUCCGGAAUCACUGGGCGUAAAGGGCGCGUAGGCGGCGCGAGCAGUCAACGGUGAAAGCUCGGGGCUCAACCCUGAGUCGGCCGUCGAUACUCUCGCGCUGGAGCACUGUAGAGGCAGGUGGAAUUCCGGGAGUAGCGGUGGAAUGCGUAGAGAUCCGGAAGAACACCGGUGGCGAAGGCGGCCUGCUGGGCAGUAGCUGACGCUGAGGCGCGACAGCGUGGGGAGCAAACAGG
rnacentral:rRNA from 1 species